rnacentral:rRNA from 1 species
UACGUAGGGUGCGAGCGUUAAUCGGAAUUACUGGGCGUAAAGCGUGCGCAGGCGGUCUGUUAAGACCGAUGUGAAAUCCCCGGGCUCAACCUGGGAAUUGCGAUGGAGACUGCACGGCUAGAGUGUGUCAGAGGGGGGUAGAAUUCCACGUGUAGCAGUGAAAUGCGUAGAUAUGUGGAGGAACACCGAUGGCGAAGGCAGCCCCCUGGGAUAACACUGACGCUCAUGCACGAAAGCGUGGGGAGCAAACAGG